CGCGCAGGCAGGUUGGCAAGUCAGAGGUGAAAUCCUACAGCUUAACUGUAGAACUGCCUUUGAGACUGCUAAUCUUGAGUACGGAAGAGAGAGAUGGAAUUCCAGGUGUAGUGGUGAGAUACGUAGAUAUCUGGAAGAACACCAGUGGCGAAGGCGAUCUCUUGGUCCUUUACUGACGCUAAGGCGCGAAAGCGUGGGGAGCAAACA
rnacentral:rRNA from 1 species